GAAUAUCAUAUCACACAUGAAUGAGUAAAAUUUGCCUGGUUCAUUGGAAAGUAAUUGCUUCGGGAAAUCUUGUUCUUAAUUAUUAUGUAAUUACAGUGUCUAAUUCACUUCAAUCCAAAUUAAAGUUACCAGUAAUCAUGUCUGUUAAAGGCUAACAAAAGUGAUAAUAGAAAAUAAAUUACACACUCGCCCGUAUCUACCUCGAAUAAUAUCUGAUCGGACACUCAUUUGAUUCUUAAAGUUCGAGA
rnacentral:lncRNA from 1 species